GAGGUUGUGGCUCAGAGGUAGAGCGCUUGCCUAGCAUGCUUGAGGCACUGGGUUCAAUCCUCAGCACCACA
rnacentral:tRNA from 1 species